UUGAAAUCCAAUACUAAGUGAAAAGUGGUAUCUUUUUGUCAUUGAGAUUUAUAUCUUCCCCAGAGUACGACAAUUUAUGUUAUAGAAAUGCCAUUCCCUGGAAGUGAAAAGGCGUUUUGUGUUUUGGAGUAUGCUCGAACACAGUCGAAUAAGACUGUGCAAUAUGCAUUUGUGAGGAAGUUCACUAAAAAAUUACAAACGGCAAUGCAGAUUUGGACAUGGCACAAAAAAAUCAAAGAGGAAGGCUGUCCGUGCAGGGCAAAAAGAUCUGGAUAACCACUAACAUCGGAAGAGACGGUCGAAGCAAGUAAAAUAAAAUUAAAAAAAUACUCGCUCAUCCGACAAAUUGCAAGAAUAAGAAUGAAAGAGAAAAAGGAAAAGCAAAAUUCUUGUAUUUGAUUUAAAAAUUAAUCGCCAUACUUCAGUAAAUUUUUUUCUUUUUAAAAUUGAAAAUAAAUAUUUCCGGUUCAGGUUUA
rnacentral:lncRNA from 1 species